GAUGAACGCUGGCGGCGUGCCUAAUACAUGCAAGUCGAGCGAACAGACGAGGAGCUUGCUCCUCUGACGUUAGCGGCGGACGGGUGAGUAACACGUGGAUAACCUACCUAUAAGACUGGGAUAAUUUCGGGACACCGGAGCUAAUACCGGAUAAUAUAUUGCACCGCAUGGUUCAAUAGUGAAAGACGGUUUUGCUGUCACUUAUAGAUGGUUCCGCGCCGCUUUAGAUAGUUGGUAAGGUAACGGCUUACCAAGGCAACGAUGCGUAGCCGGCCUGCGUGGGUGAUAGCCCGCCCUGGAACUGAAACACGGUCCAGAGUCCUACGGGAGGCAGCAGUAGGGAAUCUUCCGCAAUGGGCGAAAGCCUGACGGAGCAACGCCGCGUGAGUGAUGAAGGUCUUCGGAUCGUAAAACUCUGUUAUUAGGGAAGAACAAAUGUGUAAGUAACUAUGCACGUCUUGACGGUACCUAAUCAGAAAGCCACGGCUAACUACGUG
rnacentral:rRNA from 1 species